rnacentral:sRNA from 1 species
CGCAUUCUGGGUGGACAAGAAGGGCCGUGUCUUCCACCGCAUCAACGACUCGGCUGUUAUGCUGUUCUUCAGCGGGGUCCGCACGGCCGACCCGCUCUGGGCCCUGGUGGACGUCUACGGCCUCACGCGGGGCGUCCAGCUGCUUGGUCUGGAUACCCGACAACAGCGGGGACAGUGGCCCUCCUGUGCCUUCCAGAGUUGAGCUUACAAGAGCUCAAGGCAUCAAGGAUCAGCUGCACAUGUUGGGCACAGAUAGGCCACCAGGGCCCCAGCAGUGCUGGUACAAGGAAGAGGGGCAGUGCGGUGCCCAGGAUGCCAGAUUCAGUGGGGAAGGUGGGUCUGCCUGCCUUAUAGUUCCCCGGAGGCUCCCGAGGGCUUUGUCUGGUUCGGUUGUUCCUGUGCACGCUGGUUUUCUACCACAAUGAAUAUAUAUAAAGUUGAUCA